rnacentral:lncRNA from 1 species
ACAAUAAAUUGCCCUGGACCCUUCAUCUCCCGAUUGGCCAGUUUUUGAGCAUGAGAUGGUAUAAAAAAACUAAAGGAGGUGGAGUUACAUCAAAAGUAAAGAAUGUUUAUUAAGAAUUUAAGAAUCUUACAGCAAAGAGGGAGUACGCACUUAAACUCUUGCUCCCCAUGGCAUUCAGGAAUUAACUUCUCACGUUCACUAGCUGUCAGGGCUGAGGACUGACAUGUGGCUUCCUUAAAAUUUAAUGUGGUACAGAUGUGCAGUGGGUUGGGAUACCAUAUCAUGACAACCCUUUAUGUUCUAGACCACCAAACAUACUAAAUAUGUAGAAUUCGAUGAAGUUUCUAGUUGGGGCAUCAAGCUGCUAAUGACUUCAUGGUCAGAAAGCAAAAGGUUUCAAUAGAGUGAGAGUGGGCUUUUCAAACAGUUCAGAAAUGUUAUUUAGUUCUGUUGCCAGUUGGACAUUCUACCUUUCAGAAUGUGUAUCAGCUACUGGAAUUUUUUUUUUUUUUCCUUUUGGAGACAGGGUCACUCUGUAGCUCAGAAUGGCCACAAACGCAAAAGUCAGUCCUCCUACCUGUUUCCAGGCUUGGAUUAUAUGCUGAGCUACCACACCCAGCUUGAGAAUGCUUAAGAGAAACAGGAAUUAGAGUUUAGACUAACGGUCCUUGUUAUAGUCCGAACGUGCCCCACCACAGACAUCAUGUGUUGGAAACACAUGACAUAACCUGAUAUGGUACGCGAGGUGAGGCCUUUACAAAGUACUUAAUCCUGAGGGCAGAUGGGUCCGUGCUCUAUUAGAGUGGUUCUUGAUAAAAGGAUGAGUUUGUCCCCUUACCUCUCCCGUCUUUGCUCUUCCUCUUCUUCCUCUGCAGUGUCCUGAUACAGCAAGGAAAUCCUCACUAGAUAACCUCACCUUCCCGACCGAUGACCUAGAGAAAGUCCAUCUCUUCUUCAUAAAGUACUCAGUCUCAGGUAGUCUGUCUGAGUCCCACAGAUGGAGCGUCCCUAAAAUCACUUCUGUUAUCUUACUAUUCUCUAACUAGGAAGACACUGUUCAAAUUGACUUCAUUUCAGAUAAACUUAGCAAACAGAAUUAACCUUUAAGAAGUAAUAUUUAAAAGAACUGAAAACAUUUCCAAUGCUUUGCUAGUCUGGUCAUGGUUUCCGCCUCUGGUCAAGAAUAUUUUAAGUGCUUAAGAAAUGAUGCAUUUCCUAGCAGAUUCUCAGAGUCACGUUGGAAAUGUUAUCAAAUGCUGAGCCUUUCUCAGGUAGGAAGAACAUGGACUUCCCAGAGUGAGUGCUUCAGCUUUCUGGUCAAGAUAGACUAGGGACUCAUGCAGAGUUUGGAGGGAGACAGUGGCUUGCUGUCAGAGAUGUUUCCUACGUGGACUUCAACUGCAUUUUGGAUAACUUGACAUAGAAGUUAAGACAGCUCUCCUGAUUUAAGCUGUCAUGUUGGUAGGAAAGGAACAUGGUGUAUUUUUAUUCCUUUAUUUUACACUAUAUCAUGAGAAAUUAUAUAAUUUUACUAUGCUCUAAAACUCACAUUAUGUAUGGGAAAGGUGUCACUGUUUCUGUUGUCACUAGUAAUCUUAUUAGGAUGUAAGGUCAAAGGCAGGUUACUUAAAUGCACAGCUACACCAACCACGUAAUAAUAUGGCCUUGGCUUUGAGGAGCUUUUUUUGUGGUAUUCAGCCUCAGACCCAGGGCUUGAAUAGCAGGCAGGUGUGCAGGUGCCACUGACUUAUAAAACUUUUUCUUUUUUUUUUUUUUUACAUUAGACUUUUUUAAUUAGAUAUUUUCUUUAUUUACAUUUCAAAUGUUAUCCCCUUUCCUAGUUUCCCCUCUGAAAAUUCCGUAUCCCCUCCCAUUCCCCCCAACUCACCCACUCCCAUUCCUGGCCCUGGCAUUCCCCUAUACCGGGGCAUAGAACCUUCACAGGACCAAGGGCCUCUCCUCCCAUUGAUGACCAACUAGGCCAUCCUCUGCUACAUACGAAGCUCGAGCCAUGAGUCCCACCAUGUGUUUUUUUUGGUUGGUGGUUUAGUCCCUGGGAGCUCUGGGGGUACUGGUUUGUUCAUAUUUUUGUUCCUUCUAUGGGGCUUGCAAACUCCUUCAGCUCCUUGGGUCCUUUCUCUAGCUACUUCAUUGGGGACCCUGUGCUCUGUCCAAUGGAUGGCUAUGAGCAUCCACUUCUGUAUUUGUCAGGCACUGGCAGAGCCUGUCAGGAGACAGCUAUAUCAGGCUCCUGUCAGCAUGCUCUUGUUGGCAUCUGCAAUAGUGUCGGGUUUGGUGAUUGUUAAUGGGAUGGAUCUCCAGGUGGGGCAGUCUCUGGAUGGUCAUUUGUUCAGUUUCUGCUCCAUGCUUUAUCUCUGUAACUCCUUCCAUGGGUAUUUUGUUUUCCCUUCUAAGAAGGAUCAAAGUAUCCACACUUUGGUGUUCCUUCUUCUUGAGUUUCAUGUGUUUUGUGAAUUGUAUCUUGGGUAUUCUGAGCUUCUGGGCUAAUAUCCACUGGGCUAAUAUACCACUUAGCUAUACAACUAAUUCUUAAGAAUGUUUUAUCAGUUCUUCCUAGGCUUGUGGGAAACAAGAGGAUGUGUGGUACAUAAUUCUUGGUUAGGGUCAGAUGUUAAAAUAACCCAGCUCU